rnacentral:misc_RNA from 1 species
CUUGCUCGUGCAUCGAACUGUUUGCCAACGAUCUCUUCAGUGUAAGCCCAAUUGCACGUUUUAUAGUUGGGUGAAGGCGGGGUUCCUGUGCUGCUUACCCACGCAAGUGGAAAUCACAAGUCGAUGCCCAUACAUUUUCAUUGUGUGCCCCCGUUGGGGUGCAUGGUGAACGUUGCAGCRACCUUUGUGACCCGUACAAGCUCGUCGAGCAGUUACGGUGCAUUGAGUGUCGCUCGUGCUUUCGGAUACGGAAUGCUGUGCGGGCGGAGGGUGGGAAAUCUCUCCAUAUGCCUAAUUGUCCCUUAUACGAGAACGACAUAUGAGCUCGCUUCGGUCCCUUGCAUGCUGAGACGUUGCAUGCUUGGGCUCCGUUCGGGUGACGGUGUCUUGAAGGAAUGC